rnacentral:misc_RNA from 1 species
AGUCGUAACAAGGUAUCCGUAGGUGAACCUGCGGAUGGAUCAUUUCCACUAUUAAAACAAAAAAAAGAGAAGGGAGAUUUUGUCCAUGUGCGAAUGAAAGUUUGCACUAGAUAAUUUCAAACUCUCUUUUUUUUAAUAUUUAACAAACAUUUUAACGUGAAUUGUUAUUGUACAAAACAUUUUUAUAAACGUAAGUUUGAAGUUUUGAUAACAUUCAAAAUGAAAAACAAACGUUAAACAAAUUAGAAUUGGUUUUUAUUCUAAAACAAAAAGUAACCAAAAACAACUCUUAACAACGGAUGUCUUGGUUCUC